AUGUUCCCACAGCUCUAUGUUCCCACAGCUCUAUGUUCCCACAGCUCUAUGUUCCCACAGCUCUAUGUCCCCACAGCUCUAUGUCCCCACAGCUCUAUGAUCCCACAGCUCUAUGUCCCCACAGCUCUAUGUUACCACAGCUCUAUGUCCCCACAGCUCUAUGUCCCCACAGCUCUAUGUUCCCACAGCUCUAUGUUCCCACAGCUCUAUGUCCCCACAGCUCUAUGUUCCCACAGCUCUAUGUUCCCACAGCUCUAUGCUCCCACAGCUCUAUGUCCCCACAGCUCUAUGUUCCCACAGCGCUAUGUCCCCACAGCUCUAUGUUCCCACAGCUCUAUGAUCCCACAGCUCUAUGUCCCCACAGCUCUAUGUUCCCACAGCUCUAUGUCCCCACAGCUCUAUGUUCCCACAGCUCUAUGUCCCCACAGCUCUAUGUCCCCACAGCUCUAUGUCCCCACAGCUCUAUGUUCCCACAGCUCUAUGUUCCCACAGCUCUAUGUUCCCACAGCUCUAUGUCCCCACAGCUCUAUGUCCCCACAGCUCUAUGUUCCCACAGCUCUAUGUCCCCACAGCUCUAUGUCCCCACAGCUCUAUGUUCCCACAGCUCUAUGUCCCCACAGCUCUAUGUCCCCACAGCUCUAUGUCCCCACAGCUCUAUGUUCCCACAGCUCUAUGUUCCCACAGCUCUAUGUCCCCACAGCUCUAUGUCCCCACAGCUCUAUGUUCCCACAGCUCUAUGUUCCCACAGCUCUAUGUCCCCACAGCUCUAUGUUCCCACAGCUCUAUGUUCCCACAGCUCUAUGCUCCCACAGCUCUAUGUCCCCACAGCUCUAUGUUCCCACAGCGCUAUGUCCCCACAGCUCUAUGUUCCCACAGCUCUAUGAUCCCACAGCUCUAUGUCCCCACAGCUCUAUGUUCCCACAGCUCUAUGUCCCCACAGCUCUAUGUUCCCACAGCUCUAUGUCCCCACAGCUCUAUGUCCCCACAGCUCUAUGUUCCCACAGCUCUAUGUUCCCACAGCUCUAUGUCCCCACAGCUCUAUGUUCCCACAGCUCUAUGUUCCCACAGCUCUAUGCUCCCACAGCUCUAUGUCCCCACAGCUCUAUGUUCCCACAGCUCUAUGUCCCCACAGCUCUAUGUUCCCACAGCUCUAUGUCCCCACAGCUCUAUGUUCCCACAGCUCUGUGUCCCCACAGCUCUGUGUCCCCACAGCUCUGUGUCCCCACAGCUCUGUGUUCCCACAGCUCUAUGUCCCCACAGCUCUAUGUCCCCACAGCUCUAUGUCCCCACAGCUCUAUGUUCCCACAGCUCUAUGUUCCCACAGCUCUAUGUUCCCACAGCUCUAUGUCCCCACAGCUCUAUGUCCCCACAGCUCUAUGUUCCCACAGCUCUAUGUUCCCACAUUGGGCUGACCCUCACCCUAAUCCUAUCCUACCAACCCAAACCCGAAAAAUUACUCAUUCAUUUACUAAAAGUUGCUUCCAAAAGGUUGUGGGAGGAUAG
rnacentral:lncRNA from 1 species